GGGGGAAUUUUCCGCAAUGGGCGCAAGCUGACGGAGCAACGCCGCGUGAGGGAUGAAGGCCUCCGGGCUGUAAACCUCUUUUAUCAAGGAAGAAGAUCUGACGGUACUUGAUGAAUAAGCCACGGCUAAUUCCGUG
rnacentral:rRNA from 1 species